GGUACAUCAUACUCCAUAGCUGCACGUCUUACACUAAACCCUUUCUUAAACGAGCAUGCGCAGUAUAAAAGGGGGGUGGUCUGCCCAAAAAUGGAAGCAAAUAUUCAAAAUGGCGAUUACACAUGAUAAAGAUCUUGAUAACAUCAGUUGAUUUACAUAGUAACAGUAAAAGGAAGAGACCACAAUUGCCUAGCCUCUUAUUUUCCACAUGUUUCUUGUUCUUAUCUUCUGACUAAAUCACGGUUAAGUUGUUUAUAGCGAGUAAUAGUGAAACAGGCCGAGCUUCAGGACAAUCAAGGACUUAUUUAGCAUGUCCAGAAAUAUGCGGUCAUCCUUCCGUAUAUCCUCUUACUACAAUCCGUAAUUGUAAACCACGGGAGUCCCUUUACUUGUAUGGAGUCAAGCAAGUAAAUGUCCAUAGAUUGGAUAUCUAGUCUCUGCCAUGUAAUUUCACCGGUACUUUUCAAGCGUAAAGAACUGCCAUUGGACUUCACAGUGACCGUUUAAUACUUAUUCUUUUUAAUACUUCUUAAUUUAAUUAUAAAAUUAUUUCUCAUUUUGUUAAGAUUGUAUGAUACAGUAUACAACCUAA